rnacentral:rRNA from 1 species
AUUGAACGCUGGCGGCAUGCCUUACACAUGCAAGUCGAACGGCAGCACGGGAGCAAUCCUGGUGGCGAGUGGCGAACGGGUGAGUAAUAUAUCGGAACGUGCCCAGUCGUGGGGAUAACGUAGCGAAAGCUACGCUAAUACCGCAUACGAUCUAUGGAUGAAAGCGGGGGAUCGCAAGACCUCGCGCGAUUGGAGCGGCCGAUAUCAGAUUAGGUAGUUGGUGAGGUAAAGGCUCACCAAGCCGACGAUCUGUAGCUGGUCUGAGAGGACGACCAGCCACACUGGGACUGAGACACGGCCCAGACUCCUAACGGGAGGCAGCAGUGGGGAAUUUUGGACAAUGGGCGCAAGCCUGAUCCAGCAAUGCCGCGUGCAGGAUGAAGGCCU